CCGGCCGAAAGCUAGGUCCGGAUUGCACGUGGAGGGCCGCCCGAAGGGCACUCUCGGACAUUAACCCGCAUUCUGUACCAUGGGGCGCAAGUUGGACCCUACGAAGGAGAAGCGGGGGCCAGGCCGAAAGGCCCGGAAGCAGAAGGGUGCCGAGACAGAACUCGUCAGAUUCUUGCCUGCAGUGGCACUGGGGUCAUCUCCAAGGAUCCAGCCGUGAAGACUAACAAGGAUGAGAAGGACAUCCUGCGCUGUGCUCACCUCCAGAAGGAGUUGCUCCUGAGUGCUAUUGACUCUGUCAAUGCGACCUCCAAGACAGGAGGCUACCUGGUUUACUGCACCUGUUCUAUCACGGUAGAAGAGAAUGAGUGGGUGGUAGACUAUGCUCUGAAAAAGAGGAAUGUGCGACUGGUGCCCACAGGCCUAGACUUUGGCCAGGAAGGUUUUACCCGCUUUCAAGAAAGGCGCUUCCACCCCAGUCUGCGUUCUACCCGACGCUUCUACCCUCAUACCCACAAUAUGGAUGGGUUCUUCAUUGCCAAGUUCAAGAAAUUUUCCAAUUCUAUCCCUCAGUCCCAGACAGGAAAUUCUGAAACAGCCACACCUACAAAUGUAGACUUGCCUCAGGUCAUCCCCAAGUCUGAGAACAGCAGCCAGCCAGCCAAGAAAGCCAAGGGGGCUGCAAAGACAAAGCAGCAGCUGCAGAAACAGCAACAUCCCAAGAAGGCCUCCUUCCAGAAGCUGAAUGGCAUCUCCAAAGGGGCAGACUCAGAAUUGUCCACUGUACCUUCUGUCACAAAGACCCAAGCUUCCUCCAGCUUCCAGGAUAGCAGUCAGCCAGCUGGAAAAGCCGAAGGGAUCAGGGAGCCAAAGGUGACUGGGAAGCUAAAGCAACGAUCACCUAAAUUACAGUCCUCCAAGAAAGUUGCUUUCCUCAAGCAGAAUGCCCCUCCCAAGGGCACAGACACACAAACACCGGCUGUGUUAUCCCCAUCCAAGACUCAG
rnacentral:sRNA from 1 species